rnacentral:rRNA from 1 species
AAUGAACGCUGGCGGCGUGCCUAACACAUGCAAGUCGAGCGAGAAAGGGGGCUUCGGUCCCUGAGUAGAGCGGCGCACGGGUGAGUAACGCGUGGAUAAUCUGCCCAUGAACCUGGGAUAACAACGAGAAAUUGUUGCUAAUACCGGAUAAGCUCACGUACUGUAAGGGUAAGUGGGAAAAGGCGGCCUCUGGAAUAAGCUGCCGUUUGUGGAUGAGUCCGCGUCCCAUUAGCUAGUUGGUGGGGUAAAGGCCUACCAAGGCGACGAUGGGUAGCCGGCCUGAGAGGGUGGCCGGCCACACUGGAACUGAAACACGGUCCAGACUCCUACGGGAGGCAGCAGUGGGGAAUAUUGCGCAAUGGGCGAAAGCCUGACGCAGCAACGCCGCGUGAGGGAAGAAGGUCUUCGGAUCGUAAACCUCUGUCGGGAGGGAAGAACGGCAUGGGGUCGAACAGGCUCUGUGAUUGACGGUACCUCCAAAGGAAGCACCGGCUAACUCCGUGCCAGCAGCCGCGGUAAUACGGAGGGUGCGAGCGUUAUUCGGAAUUACUGGGCGUAAAGGGCGUGUAGGCGGCUUUGUAAGUCAGAUGUGAAAGCCCACGGCUUAACCGUGGAACUGCAUUUGAAACUGCUUGGCUAGAGUACGGGAGGGGGUGGCGGAAUUCCCGGUGUAGGAGUGAAAUCCGUAGAUAUCGGGAGGAACACCGGUGGCGAAGGCGGCCGCCUGGACCGUAACUGACGCUGAGACGCGAAAGCGUGGGGAGCAGACAGGAUUAGAUACCCUGGUAGUCCACGCUGUAAACGAUGGAUGCUAGGUGUUGGGGAGCAAUCUUCAGUGCCGCAGUUAACGCGUUAAGCAUCCCGCCUGGGGAGUACGGUCGCAAGGCUG